rnacentral:rRNA from 1 species
CGAAGCUGGAAUCGCUAGUAAUCGCGGAUCAGCACGCCGCGGUGAAUACGUUCCCGGGCCUUGUACACACCGCCCGUCACACCGUGGAAGUCUGCAAUGCCCGAAGCCGGUGGCCUAACCACUUAUGUGGAAGGAGCCGUCUAAGGCAGGGCAGAUGACUGGGGUGAAGUCGUAACAAGGUAAC